AGCUCCUGAGGUCCCGCCUUCUCGCAGUCCGCUACCACCGUAUACUUUCCUGGAGCCUGAAGGGUCAAAGGUCAGCCAAAGACAGCCAGGUCAGAGUUCAUGGGGUCCUCGCCGCUGGAGUACCCAUCAUUCUCUUCCGAGGCAUCCACUGAGAGAGACGCCUUGUUCCAGCCUGGAGGUCGGAGGUGCAGAGAGGAGGGAACAGACACAGAUUCACUGAACUUCAUCAACGAAUGAUGGGACAGAAAUACGCUGGUACAGAGAAUAAACACGUGCUGAAUCACUGAUCUGCCGACAUGAUAAGGCCCUGUCCUCGUGGCCGCUGAGCUCUCGAAGGACAUGCUCAGCAUGGGCGGGGCUUAUGCUGACCUCAGAGAAACCCGACAACCGCUCUGAUGUCACAUCAAGC